AUUUUAUUGUUUUAAUUCCAGUACAGCAAACAUUUGACAGCCAUGUUAAAGAGUAAUACAAAUGAGACUACUCAUUUCUUAAAACCAUUUUAUUGACCCAUGUACAGAAAGUGCAGCAGCGACCACAAAAAAGUCGGAUUUUGUGUUGAUGACGAGCCAAGGAAAUUCAUUGCAGUUGUGAACAUUCAGAAAGAAAAAUCCCAGCAGCCCCUGGAUCGAGGAACACGAUGAACGCUCUGCAAUACUGCUGUAAGACUUACAUAGACCUGAUGGAAAACAGCCUGAGGAGUCUGUCUAGUCAACUGAAUCACGAAAUACACAAACAAGCAAAGUUGAAACACAGGAUGGAUAAACACUGAAAAUGGGAAGAGAAGGACAUGAACAUGGAUCACAGGACAUGGCAGAACAACAAUAUAAGAGAACAUGAGAGAGAAGCAUUGAUAAAUUAUUUGAAGCUAAAGACUCCAACAAAAACAGUUCACCUGUAGAUGUUGGGAAUAUAUUUGUGACAACUGAAAUCUGUGUGAAAUACAUAAAAGUUUGAAGAGGAGAUCGAGGACAUGAAUUAUCCAAAAUCACGCAGCAAGAGACAUGAGGAUCCUGAGGAGCGAAGAGAUGAAAUGGAAGAGCAAGAAAGGCCUCAUCUCUGUCCUGUGUGUGGAAAGAGUUUUUCACAGCUGGCCAACUGCAAGAAGCACCAGAAGAUCCAUUCUUCAGUGAAAUCUCAUGCUUUUGUGGACUGCGGCAAGACCUUCAACACGUCUGAAUAUCUGCGAAAGCAUCAGAAAACUCACACUACAGAAAGACCGUUCACAUGCGCUCAGUGUGGACUGAGUUUCAAAGGUAAAAACGACCUUGUGUCGCAUGAAAUAAUUCACAUUGGAAAGAAGCCGCACACGUGCCGUCAGUGUGGGAGGAGCUUCAUACAGUCAUCAGGACUCACUUAUCAUAUGCGUCAUCACUCUGGAGAAAAAGCAUUUAAUUAUGAUCGGUGUGGGAAAAAUUUCACCUCAAUGCCAAAUCUAAAAAAACACCUGACAAUUCAUAUGAAUGAGCAUGAGAAGUGCCAUAAGUGUCCUUUGUGUGGAAAGUGUUUCUCACGCAUGGACUCUCUGAAACAGCACCAAAAAGUACAUGAUGUUGUGUGGGAUCAUGUGUUUCGAGCGUGGGAAGAGCUUUAUAGCAGUGAGCCAUUUGAAGCUGCACCAGAGGAUUCAUAGUGAUGAAAAACCGUUCAGCUGCUCAAAGUGUGGAAGGAGUUUCACACAAAAAAGCCACUUAAACAAACACAUGCGAACACAUAGUGGAGAGAAACCUCAAGAAUCAGGUCUCAGUUCGCUUCUGUGCAGCUGCUCAAAUAAAUGAGAUUCUGAUAAUGCAAAUGUUAUUUUAUUGUUCAAAUAAAGCUGUUUUCAGUUUGUUCAAAGAAUGUUGGUUUGAAAUCUCACGAUUUGUAGAGAUGAUGUUCUGUGUUUUGGGGAGUAGCAGAAGUAUUGCUCUUAGAUUUAUGUAUUUAUAGUAUGUUUAUUUUCUUUAUAUUCUUGAACAUUCUUUAAUUGAAAAGCCUUCUUGUUAAGAUAUAAAGUCAAAUUAAAGAUAUGAAACAAAUGUAACCAAAACAAUAAAUUAACAGAAUUCAGAUGUUUAGAUCAACAGCACAAUAUGUGAUAUUUCUUUUACAGCAGUAAAGGUGCGGUCAAAAUGAUACAUUUCAUGUGCAAAAACAGGUCAGUUGUGAAUAGUGUAGAGAUGAAUGAAGCACAUCACACACAGAAGUCACUUUCAAAUCAGCAGCUUUCUGUUGGUCAGAGAAUUCACAUGACCAACUUGAACACAAGCUAAAUCUUUUACUGUGAGGUAAGAAGUUUAGUUUCUGAAUACAACUGAAUAAACACCUGAAGUUCAUGCAGGUCAGAGGA